GUUUUUGUUUGGGUUGAUGCACUUUCACGGUUAUUGAACGUAUUGUAUUUUCAGUAUAAUGAAGCAAUCAUCCAAUAGCAACGUUUGGGUCCAGUCGUUCAGGCAUACAUUUAAAUAUUAAUAAACCUAAGACAAACGAAUUGUGCACCUUCAUGUCCUUUCCAACAUAAAUUGUAUAACCAUUGUUAAUCACUUUGAAAUCUGCCGGCUUUCCAAACC